UGUACCCUACUCCAGUACGUUUAAAAAUAAAUGGAACAUAAGCAGCAACUGAUCUCAUGUCAACUGACAUGUUGACAAAAAGAAGUAUGCUAAUUUCAGCUCCAUUCCAAACACUACAUGACAUCAAUGCUUGUUAGCGGACAAGGAUAAAACUGGAUUGGUUACAAGCAUUGUCUCUGGCAUGAGAUCUAAGGUACAACUGACCUUGGCUCUACAUCAUUCAGUGAUAUCUUGCAACAUGAUAAAUAUCCCAAGAGCAGGCCACCCCCUUCCACCUCCCACGGAUUGCUGUCGUCCAUCCCACAAGUGCCUGUAUUCCAGUUCUGCUGAGCAGGAUCCUUCCAGAUGAAAGUGAUAUUUGGAAUCCAAGAGAUGUAUGCUGUAAGAAUUUAUCCAAACCCAGACUGACAUAUGUGAGUUCAUGCAAGUUAAUGGACUCCAAGAUCCAACGCUAAUAUUGUUACAAUAUUGAGCUAAAUCAAAUGUUUUGGCCUAAAAACUGUGACAUUAUCCCUCAAAGAUUUCACAUCUGUUGUUAAUAUUGUGUUUAAGUAUUGAAUCCAUGAUUUAUGCAUUUCAGCAUUUUGUAUGUUUUCCUUGCUGUGGGAUCUAUCUGCCUUGGAAUCUCAGAUGACACCUGCUUAUAGCAUUAAGUGAUGCAGCACACUGUCUGCUGCUUAUCUAUUUCUAUUGCUAUGCCAGUCUGCUUCCUCCACCUCUGCACUAACACAGAUCAGUAGCUUGAGAGCAAUUUACCUCCCAUUAACACUACAGAUUCAUUCUCACUCUUUCCAUCGCUCCUAGAAAUCGAACCACAAAUACUCCUCAUGCAAAUAACGUUGACCACAUGCCCAAGUGAUGGUGAGAUCAGGGCCUAAGAGUACUAUCUGAAGGUUCUACAUCCUAGGACAAUUGGCACUGAUGUCUGUAACGAACAUUGUCACCUGCUCAGGAACUAUGACUCACAUCAGAGGCCAUGUGUGUUAUUGUAGAUGCUAUGGCCUAGUCUACACCUAAAAUUUUAGGGUCUCUCUACACUAGAAACUCUACAGCACUGCAGCAGCACCAAUGUAGUGCUCUAGCUUAGGUUGUGUCUACACUGCGCACCUUACAACGGUGUGGCUGUGCCGUUGCAGGUGCGCCGUUGUAAGGUGCGCUGUGUGGCCGCUUUUUAUCGCCAGUAGAGAGCUCUCCCAAUGAGGGGCAGUAACUUCAUCGCCGAGAGUGCAGCUCCCCACAAUGAAGUGCUGUCCACACCAGUGCUUUUUGUGUUUUUUCACACACCUAAGUGACAAAAGUUUUAGCGACAAAUGUGUCAGUGUAGACAAAGCCUUAGACACUUAAUACAGUGACAGAAGGGGUUUUUCCGUUGCUGUAGUAAACACACCUGUCCAAGAGGUGGUAGCUAGGUUAACAUAAAAAUUCUUCUGUUGACCUAGUGGUGUCUACGCCAGGACUUAGGUCAGAUUAAUCACAAUUGCACAGGGAGUGAAAUUUUUCACAGCAAUGUAGUUAAGCCAACCUAACUUUCUGGUGUAGACCAGCCCUAAGGUUGAUCUAGCUACAUCAUUCAGGGGUGUGAAAAAUUCAUAUCCCUGAGAGACAUAGUUAAGCCAACCUGAGCCCAGGUGUAGACACCACUAGGUCGACCAAAGAAUUCUUCCAUCAACCUAACUACUGCCUCUCGAUGGGGUAGAUUUACUAUAGGGACAGAAAAACCCUUUCCAUCAUUGUAGGAAGUGUCUAUGCGGUGGGGCUGGGGCUUGGGCCCUCCAACCCAGGGCAGCAGGACUAGGGCAGGCUCAGGCUUCGGUCCCCCUCACCACCCAGAGUCAUGUAAUAAUUUUUGUUGUCAGAAGGGGGUCGCAGUGCAAUUAAGUUUGAGAAUCUCUGGUUUAGACAAGUAGACACCAGAGACAAGUUCUCUAUUAUUGGUGUGGCAGGCUUCAAGUCUUUGGAUAUUUUCAUUUUUAAAAGGGUGAUUCUUUUGAGGGACAAUUAGUUAUGUUGAAGAAGACCUCAUAUUGUAUAACCAAAUUGACCUGCAUAUACAAGGCCUGUUAUUGAUCCACCUUCCCCUAACUUCUGUCCACUUGUCUUCCCAGCCUUAGAUUGUGCAUUCCUUGGAGUACCUGACAUUUCUUCUUGAAUGUUUGGAAAUGGCAUGCAUUGUCUGCACUACUAUAAACAAAUAUUACUUUAAAUAAUAAGAAGCAAUGCAACAUCAUUGAUUGAAAAUAUAAAUUUGAGGGGAUGAGAAAAGAUUAAACAGAUACUUAGAAUAUUUCUUAAAUUUGAAUCCCAGUGUAAUUUCAGUCUUUUUAUCUCAGAAACUUCAGUGAAUUUGUAUCUUAUUUGUAACUUCUGAAUAAAUUCUGUUUCUUAUUACUGCAAGAUGUAUAUUUUUGAAAUGAUAAACAAUUGUUAAUAAUGGAUGGAUCUAAAUUGAAAUGUUUAUCCCACAGCAUGAAAAGUAAAAUAAGUUAGUGCUCAGACACUAAAAUGUAAAUUGUACAUCCAGGGUCAAAAUCUUUCUUGCCAUUCUCAUUUAAGUAUUUCAAUUGACUUCAAUGGGACUAUGGGUAUGAGUAAAGCAAGCAGCAUUUGGUUCCCAGGCUUAGAAAGCCUGACUUGACUAUGCCUAGCAUAUAUAUUUUCUAGCAGCUGAUUAUAAAUAAGUAGCCUUAUUGAUGCCAAAAGUUCCAGGUAGAAUGAGUCUGUCCCGUGACUGUAUAUAAACAUCAAGUAGCAUGAAUCCUAACAUUUCAUUUGCUUUCAGUGGAACACUAACUACCAAGAGCAGCAUAGCUGAGAAGAUACAGAGGCAAAAGAUACCAGCCUUUACCCCCUUUUCAUUCACUUUUCUGCCUUUAUUCAUGAUGCCCAUUAUACCUGCAACACCUUCCCUGUUCUUGUCUAUCAAGGCACUCUCCUCACCUCAUUUUAAGUUGCGCUUAAAAAAAAAAUCAUCUCACUUUUCCUGCAAUGUCUACAAUAAAUGAGUCAAUUAUUUUCA